GGAAUAUUGGACAAUGGGCGCAAGCCUGAUCCAGCAAUUCCGCGUGGGUGAAGAAGGUCUUCGGAUUGUAAAGCCCUUUCGACGGGGACGAUGAUGACGGUACCCGUAGAAGAAGCCCCGGCUAACUUCGUGCCAGCAGCCGCGGUAAUACGAAGGGGGCUAGCGUUGCUCGGAAUUACUGGGCGUAAAGGGCGCGUAGGCGGCUUAGUUAGUCAGGCGUGAAAUUCCUGGGCUCAACCUGGGGACUGCGCUUGAUACGGCUAGGCUAGAGGAUGGAAGAGGGUCGCGGAAUUCCCAGUGUAGAGGUGAAAUUCGUAGAUAUUGGGAAGAACACCGGUGGCGAAGGCGGCGACCUGGUCCAUUACUGACGCUGAGGCGCGACAGCGUGGGGAGCAAACAGGAUUAGAUACCCUGG
rnacentral:rRNA from 1 species